UACGUAGGGUGCAAGCGUUGUCCGGAAUUAUUGGGCGUAAAGAGCUCGUAGGCGGUCUGUCGCGUCUGCUGUGAAAACUCAGGGCUUAACCCUGAGCUUGCAGUGGGUACGGGCAGACUAGAGUGCGGUAGGGGAGACUGGAAUUCCUGGUGUAGCGGUGAAAUGCGCAGAGUAUCAGGAGGAACACCGGUGGCGAAGGCGGGUCUCUGGGCAGUAACGUGACGC
rnacentral:rRNA from 1 species